UACGUAGGAUCCAAGCGUUGUCCGGAUUUACUGGGUGUAAAGGGUGCGCAGGCGGACUUGUUAGUCAGAGGUGAAAUCUCACUGCUCAACAGUGAAACUGCCUUUGAUACUGCAGGUCUUGAAUCCAGAAGAGAGUUGUGGAAUUCCGAGUGUAGCAGUGAAAUGUGUAGAUAUUCGGAAGAACACCAGCGGCGAAGGCAGCAACUUGGUCUGGUAUUGACGCUCAGGCACGAAAGCAUGGGGAUCAAACAGGAGUUAGAAUGAUCCC
rnacentral:rRNA from 1 species